CCUCUGACAACCCUAGAGAUAGGGCUUCUCCUUCGGGAGCAGAGUGACAGGUGGUGCAUGGUUGUCGUCAGCUCGUGUCGUGAGAUGUUGGGUUAAGUCCCGCAACGAGCGCAACCCUUGAUCUUAGUUGCCAUCAUUUAGUUGGGCACUCUAAGGUGACUGCCGGUGACAAACCGGAGGAAGGUGGGGAUGACGUCAAAUCAUCAUGCCCCUUAU
rnacentral:rRNA from 1 species